ACGGGUGAGUAAUACAUCGGAACGUACCCAGAAGUGGGGGAUAACGUAGCGAAAGUUACGCUAAUACCGCAUACGUUCUACGGAAGAAAGUGGGGGACCUUCGGGCCUCAUGCUUUUGGAGCGGCCGAUGUCUGAUUAGCUAGUUGGUGAGGUAAAGGCUCACCAAGGCGACGAUCAGUAGCUGGUCUGAGAGGACGACCAGCCACACUGGGACUGAGACACGGCCCAGACUCCUACGGGAGGCAGCAGUGGGGAAUUUUGGACAAUGGGCGCAAGCCUGAUCCAGCAAUGCCGCGUGAGUGAAGAAGGCCUUCGGGUUGUAAAGCUCUUUUGUCAGGGAAGAAACGGCUGAGGCUAAUACCUUUGGCUAAUGACGGUACCUGAAGAAUAAGCACCGGCUAACUACGUGCCAGCAGCCGCGGUAAUACGUAGGGUGCAAGCGUUAAUCGGAAUUACUGGGCGUAAAGCGUGCGCAGGCGGUUUUGUAAGUCUGACGUGAAAUCCCCGGGCUUAACCUGGGAAUUGCGUUGGAGACUGCAAGGCUGGAGUCUGGCAGAGGGGGGUAGAAUUCCACGUGUAGCAGU
rnacentral:rRNA from 1 species